rnacentral:lncRNA from 1 species
UGAGUUUGAGCUCCUGGGAGGAGAUUUUUGUUGCCUUGUAACUGGGAUUCCUAGAUCCAGCCUCCACCCUCUUAUUGCCCUGAGGAUGUUUUGGGGUUUGGUUUUGUUUUGUUUGUGUUUUUGUAGGAUGGUGGCAGUGAUUUUGAGGAGGGGAAGAGGAAGGAAGAUAUAAGCAAGGGAAGUCACAGGCUGCGGUGCCUAGGCAGACCCUGGUUUGAGUCUUGGCCUUCCCACUUUUUGCAUGUCAGUGGUAGGGGCAGCAGAUACCUCAGGACAUAUCUUGGGUUUUGUUUUUGUUUUGAGACAUAGUCUCACUCUGUUGCAGUGAGCCGAGAUGGCACCACUGCACUCCAGCCUGGGUAACAGAGCAAGACUCUGUAUUUA